AUUUUGCACGAUAAGUAUACAAUUUCAUAAGUGAACUCGUGAUUUUAACAACCUUGGUUAUAACUUUCAAAUAAUCAUCUCGAUCCAAAAACUUAAGCUAUUAGGUGAGGUUCAAAGAUAUGAUUUAUAUAAUUCUCUAACACUAGCUAGCUAACUCGUUUAUAUUUCUCUCCGUAAAAAUGGAAUGCGGCACCGAGACGUCCAACUCUAAUUCUAACACAGCUAUUCAUGUUGAAUGACACGUGUGCAUUACACCCUUGCACAAACAGGCGUACAAAGACAUGCUGGAAGAGAUACUGUGCAAGCAAGCAGCACAUGUUUGUACCAAGACAAAAAUGCAGUCAGAUAACAGUCCUAUGACAUUCAUAUUUACUUCAAAUGUAUAAUUUAUUGUUCCAUUUCUUCAUGAUAUUAGUUAUUAACUGCCCUCGUUCGAGUUUUACUUCUGAUUUAUCUGAUACCCUUCCCGAGGAGAAGGGCGUGAGAAAAGCACAGUAGCUCGACCCAGCCUUUUAAGAGGUGAUAAUUUAGAGACAACAAAGGCCUAAACAAGAUUAUCUCACACAUAAUAUUAUCCUAGACAUUCGUUGGAAGUGAAACAAAUGAUUGGACGAGAUAUAUAGUUCUCCGAUGUCUGUUCAGAAGCAUUCCAGGUUUCAUUUCUGAGUUCUUUACUGGGUAGCAUGCCAUCAUGCAACAUACCGCAAGAGGCAGAGCAAACUUUUUUAGAUGACAAU